CACCUCUUGAAGUUCUUUACAAACUCAGGAAAUACAUUAUAUACUUUCUCACAAAGUUGAAAGUGUGGGAAAGUAGUAAGAUGUAUCAAAAUUGCUUAAGAAGAGAAAUUUCUAGGUAGAAACAGAAAGUUGCCCUCAGGCAGGGCUUUUUCUUUCUUUUGAAGAGACAGGGCUCUGUGGCACAGGCAAUAGGGGAGUGAUGUGAUCAUGGCUCACUGCCACCUCAAACUCCUGGACUAAAGCAAUCCUCCCACAUCAGCCUCCCAAGUAGCUGGGACUAUAGCUGCCAGCCACUACACCUGGUUAAUUUU
rnacentral:lncRNA from 10 species